GGACUACCGGGGUAUCUAAUCCCAUUCGAUUCCCACGCUUUCGUGUUUCAGCGUCAGGAGUGUGCCAGUAAAGUGCCUUCGCAUUUGGUGUUCCCCAUGAUAUCAACGGAUUUCACCCCUACACCAUGAGUUCCCUUUACCUCUCACAUCCUCUAAGUCGUGCCGUUUCCUCCGCGUCUCCCGGGUUAAGCCCGAGAUCUUUCACGAAAGACUAACACGACCGCCUACACACCCUUUACGCCCAGUGAUUCCGGAUAAUGCUCGGGGCCUCUGUAUUACCGCGGCGGCUGGCAC
rnacentral:rRNA from 1 species